rnacentral:rRNA from 1 species
GGCCCGCGGGGGCAUUAGCUAGUCGUUAGUAACGCUUACCCAAGCACGAUGCGUAGGCGACUGAGAGGGUGAUCACCACACUGGGACUGAGACACGGCCCAGACUCUACGGGAGCAGCAGUAGGGAAUUUUCCGCAAUGGACGAAAGUCUGACGGAGCAACGCCGCGUGAGUGACGAAGGCCUUCGGGUCGUAAAGCUCUGUUGUUAGGGAAGAACAAGUACCGUUCGAAUAGGGCGGUACCUUGACGGUACCUAACCAGAAAGCCACGGCUAACUACGUGCCAGCAGCCGCGGUAAUACGUAGGUGGCAAGCGUUGUCCGGAAUUAUUGGGCGUAAAGCGCGCGCAGGCGGUCUCUUAAGUCUGAUGUGAAAGCCCACGGCUCAACCGUGGAGGGCCAUUGGAAACUGGGGGACUUGAGUGCAGAAGAGGAGAGUGGAAUUCCACGUGUAGCGGUGAAAUGCGUAGAUAUGUGGAGGAACACCAGUGGCGAAGGCGGCUCUCUGGUCUGUAACUGACGCUGAGGCGCGAAAGCGUGGGGAGCGAACAGGAUUAGAUACCCUGGUAGUCCACGCCGUAAACGAUGAGUGCUAGGUGUUGGGGGCUUCCACCCUCAGUGCUGAAGUUAACACAUUAAGCACUCCGCCUGGGGAGUACGACCGCAAGGUUGAAACUCAAAGGAAUUGACGGGGGCCCGCACAAGCAGUGGAGCAUGUGGUUUAAUUCGAAGCAACGCGAAGAACCUUACCAGGUCUUGACAUCCUCUGCCACUCCUAGAGAUAGGACGUUCCCCUUCGGGGGACAGAGUGACAGGUGGUGCAUGGUUGUCGUCAGCUCGUGUCGUGAGAUGUUGGGUUAAGUCCCGCAACGAGCGCAACCCUUGAUCUUAGUUGCCAGCAUUCAGUUGGGCACUCUAAGGUGACUGCCGGUGACAAACCGGAGGAAGGUGGGGACGACGUCAAAUCAUCAUGCCCCUUAUGACCUGGGCUACACACGUGCUACAAUGGACGGUACAAAGGGCAGCGACACCGCGAGGUGAAGCGAAUCCCAUAAAGCCGUUCUCAGUUCGGAUUGUAGGCUGCAACUCGCGUUCAAGAAACC